rnacentral:rRNA from 1 species
GACGAACGCUGGCGGCGUGCUUAACACAUGCGAGUCGAACGGAAAGGCCCUGCUUUUGUGGGGUGCUCGAGUGGCGAACGGGUGAGUAACACGUGAGUAACCUGCCCUUGACUUUGGGAUAACUUCAGGAAACUGGGGCUAAUACCGGAUAGGAGCUCCUGCUGCAUGGUGGGGGUUGGAAAGUUUCGGCGGUUGGGGAUGGACUCGCGGCUUAUCAGCUUGUUGGUGGGGUAGUGGCUUACCAAGGCUUUGACGGGUAGCCGGCCUGAGAGGGUGACCGGCCACAUUGGGACUGAGAUACGGACCAGACUCCUACGGGAGGCAACGGUGGGGAAUAUUGCACAAUGGGCGGAAGCCUGAUGCAGCAACGCCGCGUGCGGGAUGAAGGCCUUCGGGUUGUAAAACGCUUUCGCCUGUGACGAAGCGUGAGUGACGGUAAUGGGUAAAGAAGCACCGGCUAACUACGUG